rnacentral:tRNA from 1 species
UAGCUCAGCUGGUAGAGCAGCAGACUCUUAAUCUGCGGGUCGAAGGUUCGAUCCCUUC